ensembl:lncRNA
ACCUUGGAUUGUGCUACAUUCACUAACUUUUUGUCCUUCAUUAUGGCUCCCAGCCACUGUUCCCUCUAAGCUGUGCAAUUGCACACUGCUGACACGGUCUCCGCGCACAGAAAAUCUGCGCUGCGCACAAAAAAAAAAAAUCCAACCUAAAUUGUAAAUAAAAUAAACACGUAACAAUUCAUUCUGUGCUAUUUUUCAGUGUGAGUCAGUGAGUGACAGGUGACUGGCUGCUGCAGCCAAUGAUGCGAUUCACAUACGUAUUUACCAUAGACUGUAUAUAAUGGUAUUUACGCAGCUAAUCAACGUCAGGCGUCCUUAUGUGCAGCCACCGUUGUUGUCAUAGAUAUGAAUGAGUAGAUAGGACACGCCCCUUUGAGCUGCGUGCUACAGCGAGGCUAAGCUAGUGGGGGCAAAGUUUCAGUGCAUUCCGUUGAUGUAGACGGCGUGAAAACGGAAACAAGUAUGCCGUCUCACUGUGCUGCAUACAGUUACACAUUACGUCGUACGAUUGGGACAAGGAAACUUGGAAUGACUUUUCAUAGGUAAGAAUAGUUUUUGGCUCGUUUUUCAUUAUGAAAUCUUGUUGAGAGCUUCCAGUCUAUGAGAGCUAACUAGUUAGCCACUAGCAAAACGCUAAGGUGAGCUAGCAGCUUGACAACCAAAUACCAGACGAUUAAUAGUAGCUGUAGUAUAGUUGUACAAACAGUAGUAGUAAUACUAAAAGUACAAGCAGCAGUAGUAGUAUAAACAGCUGUUAGAGUCGUAGAAGUAGUAUCAGCAUUUGUAAUAGUAUUACAAGUUGUAGUAGCAGUGCCAGUAUCAGCAGCAGUAGUGAGUGUACUACCACUACUACUAGUAGUAGUCACAUUGCUAUUACUACCACCAAUACUACCAGUAGUAGUUAUAAAGCCUAACUCAUGUAUAUCCAGAUUACCAUCUAUGUUCAUCCUCCAAACCCAUUUUAUGAUUGGGAUUACAGGCAGUUCUUUAGGACUGCUCUAUUAAUUGAAAUGUUACUAAACAAGGUUAUACUUAUCAAAUUAAAUAGCUCUGGUCUCCAGUAUAUUGGCGAAUUUGGUUCUUUGUACUUAAUUUAUUAGCAUGAUUUCUUUUUAAUAUGUUGUGUACAGACUUAAUUACUUCUCUGUCUACUUUUCUUACUCCAUGUAGGUUUCCCAGAGACUAUGGGUUGAAGAGGAAGUGGAAGUUUGUCGGCUUAGACCUGGUGUCAUUCCAUCAGUGUUUAACUUCCCGGCUCAUCUUGUAGGGGCUUUCGACCGGGGUGGAGCCCGUUCAGAGUCUGAGCCGGUGCCCGACUUGGCGCCGGUUUUUUGUCUUUCCACCACCGGAGCUGCGGCUCCAAGCUCCAAAAACUGGGGCUGUUUCGGGCACCAACUCGUUGCUGGGCCAGACUUGGCCAGAGUUGAGAGCCGAGCAUGUCACGGGCAGGGGGCGUUGUGACAUCUAAAAACAUCUAAAAAGAUAAACAUAGAUAUGAUCAUCAACUUAUUGCGCGUGUUUAACCGCUAAGUAAUCAAUGCAAGCGUAGUCGAAGCUAAGUAGCUAAGCUAACGCUAGCACGUUUACUGUUAAGUAUCCAAACGUCUUUGAUAAUUACCUUUCUUGCCAAACGUGAUCGCCGGGCAUUGGAACGGCGAUGCCGAUGGGUAACCCCUAACAGAAGGUUUUGCUGUUCAGCGAUGGCGAGACACACUAGCAAAGCCAUGAACACCACUCCAAUGAAGUCCUCCAUUGUUGUUGUGUGGGUUUCCGUACGGCGCGAACGCUGUUGAACGGCUACGUACGCAGUGACGUACACACGUUUUGUGGUGGCGCAAUGACGCAGCUCCAACUUUGCUCCUUCCGAAUGGAAACACAAACCCGUUCUGGGGCGGCAUGAGAUUUGAACCAAAAAAGCACUGGCUCUCAACUUUGAACCAACCUAGCACCUGGUGCUCUUUGGUCAAAAGACCCUAUUGGAAGAGUACGUGCCAGAAAGACCACGACCAAGCAGCCUUGAGAUCUUAGGCAGCAUCUCCCUGAGGUCCCUCUCUAUCUCCCCACACAUCCACCAACCACUGGAACACAUCUCCAAAGUUCUGCUGGACCAGCUCAGCUUCCCCUCAGAAGAAGUGCUGCCACCUGCCAGAUGAAGGAGCCUUUUGAGAGGCAGCUGGCAUCGUGAUUGGACUGUACUUUGGUCUGUUCCAAUCCAGCUUCAGCUCCAGAGACGGCAGGCGGGACGAGUCAACGGAGGCCUGGUGGACGAAGGCAUGAAGCUGAGUACAAUCCAGAAAACAACAGUGGAGGAGGAAACAAACGUAGUAGUAUAGUAUAAAAUAUACAUAGUAUAUUGUAUAAAUAACAAGUCAAAGCAAAGAGACAUACACUGUAGAAUUGUAGUAAUUGUGGGCUGACUGAUUUUCUGAUUAUUGGUAUUUUUUACCGGUAAUAAAUACAUUUACUUUGGCUCUGAACCUUUAUCUACCUGUGGUCGCUCUGUCUUCUGGAGUGAUUUGAUUGGUUAUACGUCACAAAAAGUCUCCUUUACCUUAACAUCUGUAAAACAUGAAUAAACAACACGGUAACAACAAAGUUUUCUGUUAAAGUUCUUCUAAGUUUAACAACAAGAUUUUAAAUACUUUCAUUUACUGCAAAUGAAUAUCUACUCCAAAUGUCUCACUAAUAAUCAUUAUCAGCCUUAAAAACC